UACGUAGGGUGCGAGCGUUAAUCGGAAUUACUGGGCGUAAAGCGUGCGCAGGCGGUUUUAUAAGCCAGAUGUGAAAGCCCCGGGCUCAACCUGGGAAUGGCAUUUGGGACUGUAAGGCUGGAGUAUGGCAGAGGAGGCUAGAAUUCCUGGUGUAGCAGUGAAAUGCGUAGAUAUCAGGAGGAAUACCGAUGGCGAAGGCAGGUCUCUGGGCCAAUACUGACGCUCAUGCACGAAAGCGUGGGGAGCAAACAGG
rnacentral:rRNA from 1 species